rnacentral:rRNA from 1 species
AUUGAACGCUGGCGGCAGGCUUAACACAUGCAAGUCGAGCGUGCGGCGGACGGGUGAAUAAUAUCUGGGAAACGGCCUUAUGGAGAGGAAUAACUACAGGAAACGGUGGCUGAUACCGCUUCCCAUCAGAUGUGCCCAGAUGGGCUGAGCGCGUAGGGGGGGUAAUGGCUCACCUAGGCGACGAUCCCUAGCUGGUCUGAGAGGAUGACGAGUCACACGGGACCUGAGAUACGGUCCAGAAUCCUACGGGAGGCAGCAGGGGGGAAGAUUGCAAAAUGGGCGCAAGCCUGAGGCAGCCAGGCGGCGUGUGUGAAGAAGGCCUUCGGGGUGUAAAGCACGGUCAGCGAGGAGGCGUUACUCGCAGAAGAAGCACCGGCUAACUCCGUGCCAGCAGCCGCGGUAAUAC